AAAAAAAAAAAAAAAAAAACUAAGGUAAAAAAUAAAGGAUGAAAAGCGCAUGUUUUUUCAAUCAAAUAACAACAACAAAUCUACUUUCUACAACAACCAUUAUGCUUCGUUUGGUUGAUGGAAUAAAAUAAAAUAGGAUGAGAGCAGAUUGGCUAUUUCAUGGGAAAUAGCUUUUCUUAGAUUUGGUUCAAAAUUCAAAUGUAGAAUAAUUAUUCCAUGGAAUAACUACUUCACUAUCUCAACUUAUGGUUGAACAUUUAAAUGUUCAAUAAUCAUUAUGUAAAAUGAAUGUUUUUAAAAUUCAAGGUACAUA
rnacentral:misc_RNA from 1 species